AGUGAACGCUGGCGGUAGGCCUAACACAUGCAAGUCGAACGGCAGCACAGUAAGAGCUUGCUCUUACGGGUGGCGAGUGGCGGACGGGUGAGGAAUACAUCGGAAUCUACUUUUUCGUGGGGGAUAACGUAGGGAAACUUACGCUAAUACCGCAUACGACCUACGGGUGAAAGCAGGGGAUCUUCGGACCUUGCGCGAUUGAAUGAGCCGAUGUCGGAUUAGCUAGUUGGCGGGGUAAAGGCCCACCAAGGCGGCGAUCCGUAGCUGGUCUGAGAGGAUGAUCAGCCACACUGGAACUGGGACACGGUCCAGACUCCUACGGGAGGCAGCAGUGGGGAAUAUUGGACAAUGGGCGCAAGCCUGAUCCAGCCAUACCGCGUGUGUGAAGAAGGCCUUCGGGUUGUAAAGCCCUUUUGUUGGGAAAGAAAAGCAGCAGGUUAAUACCCCGCUGUUCUGACGGUACCCAAAGAAUAAGCACCGGCUAACUUCGUG
rnacentral:rRNA from 1 species